rnacentral:lncRNA from 1 species
GGAGACUCCCCAGCCCCCGGAUCCCAGUUCCCAGCCCUCCCUUCGAUCCUAUGAGAAUGCCGUGGGAGACAGAGCCAGCUGUCUGGAGGAUGCUUUGUAGGGUGUGACCUCUCCUGGACAUGCUCGAGAAAGACAUGAUUGGGUCUCUUGCCCUUCCAACAAGGGCUCAUCUCUAGAUGCACUCCCCUACGAAAACACCAAAUGUUACUAUAUCUGAGAUAGUUAAGACUUAUCAGGAACCUUAACUAGAUGAGAACCAUGCCAUAAAUUCUGAAAAAGAGUUUCUGAGAAAAAGAAAACAAGCUGUCACAAGUCACAGGACACUUGAUCCACAGGCCAGUAAAGAUUUACAGAGCCAACUUCUAACCACAGACUGAAGCACACAACAGGGCAUCUAAAAGAAUUCCCAUUUGUGCCAUCCUGACAUCUUGGCAUUCUUAGCAUGCUAUGGAUGACCUCAUUGUCCCAAUGCUAGAGCUGAGGAUGAGGGGUAGUAGAAGAGAUAAUGCUCAGCCCAGCAGACCUGAUUUGGCUCCAGGAAUCCAAGCCAUGGGAGAAAGCACAGGCAUUGCCUUUUUACCAGGAGUGAGGAGUUCAUCAGAGGAAACACAGCAACACCAAGUUCAGGGGGGCUUCACCCCUCCUUGCACCAUGACAGCAGUCGGCCUAGUUUCAGCCCUCACCAAAAGCCGGGACUUUACAAAAAUCCAAGAUUUCCUAGAACCACCUCACCAACAGGAAGGGGGCCUGAGUCUGUGUUAAAGGAGAAAGGCCUCUAGCAAAUGCAACCAGUGCGUAUCAGAAGGCGCCUAAAAGAUGUUAUUUUAAAGGAAAUCGGGCUUGACCAGGAGCAGCCAUAAACCUCAAACAUCUGUGCCACGGCCCAUCACCCUGCACAUUUUUAGAGGAGAACAUAGUGUUACUUUUGCUGGCAGCACAGGUCUGCUGAUAAGCAAAGAUGGAAUGUGUUUCAG